UUGCAGGUGCUGUCGCUGCCCUAGGCAUGCCAAGGAACAGAGGAGGGCAGGUAUCUUCUGGGCACCCUCUGGAGUCAAAUCAAGAUUUGAGGUACCCUGAGGAGCCUCGUAGCCAAAGGUUGGAAACAACAGCACCGAGGCACACACGGAGCACAUUUCACCAUCCACGUCCGACCGAGGAUGGAUUUUGUCUGCUCCUUUUCCAAAAGCUAAGUGUCGGGGCCAGCAGUUGGGAGAAGGGGAAAAACCUUUACUAUCACAGAGGGCAAUUUGAUGUCAGCUUAGCGGAGAGGUCCCCGAGGCUACCGAUUUCCCCAGAACCUACCAACUGACGUCAAGGAGCGC